GAAAAAUUAGUUAAAUAAUAACAUAAGAAUGUCAAUCUUAAAUUACUUUAUUAAGUAUUUUUU
rnacentral:tRNA from 1 species